CUCGUUUUACCCGGGCCGAGAUGCGUCUAGCUCAUGCAGGUGCUGGUUCCGCCCCCGCCUUUCUCUAUUAUCUAAAAGUUAAUUCACUUUGUUUAUGGAACCCUAGCCACACCUCCCUGCAUGUGACUUACACAGCCUUCCUAAAUACUUCCUGUGUUUAAACUUCCUUUAUUGCAAAGUAUGAUCCAUUUAGAAAUUUGUAUCUCCU